AUUGAACGCUGGCGGCAUGCUUUACACAUGCAAGUCGAACGGCAGCGCGGGCUUCGGCCUGACGGCGAGUGGCGAACGGGUGAGUAAUGCAUCGGAACGUGCCCAGUAGUGGGGGAUAGCCCGGCGAAAGCCGGAUUAAUACCGCAUACGACCUGAGGGUGAAAGCGGGGGACCGAAAGGCCUCGCGCUAUUGGAGCGGCCGAUGUCGGAUUAGCUAGUUGGUGGGGUAAAGGCUUACCAAGGCGACGAUCCGUAGCUGGUCUGAGAGGACGACCAGCCACACUGGGACUGAGACACGGCCCAGACUCCUACGGGAGGCAGCAGUGGGGAAUUUUGGACAAUGGGGGCAACCCUGAUCCAGCCAUGCCGCGUGCGGGAAGAAGGCCUUCGGGUUGUAAACCGCUUUUGUUCGGGAAGAAAUCCUCUGGGCUAAUACCCCGGGGGGAUGACGGUACCGGAAGAAUAAGCACCGGCUAACUACGUG
rnacentral:rRNA from 1 species